AGAAAUAUCUAGAGAUCACUAGCUGUGUAGCUCACCAGCGGGAGUAUCUCGAAUUCUCCACCCCAUCUUCCCCACUAAAUUCCAUUCACCAUAUUCCACCGGUACUGCCUUGGAUGCAGACCGUCGCACCACCCAAAGGCCUCAACGAGCUCGCAAUCAUGGAGGGACUAUGCUUCGGCACGGACCAGUCUGCUGCGUGCUUCCGUGCCUUAACUCACCGGGUGGCCGCCGCUUCCGCUGGUGGGUCGCAGCACCGCUGCGGGAGCUGCAAACCAGGGUCUUCACGGGCGGCCGUGGUGAGGGGCUUGGAGCGUGCGGAACUCUGGCUGUACGGGAGUGCCGUCGAGUCGUUGAGGUAACUCACGCGGGCGGCUGAACGUUGUCGAGCCACGGCCUGCUCCAGCGAGACACACCUCUGUGUGGUUGCCAUCCGCGGCGGACAUCUCGCGGCACACUUCAGGGUACGCCAAGGCAGAACACAAAGGCGCCAAGAGAUAGCUGCUACAUCAUGGUACGGCCAGCAUGUUCCUUACCGCUUGCUUUGGACUUGGGUUGCUUCGAUCUGGUAAAUAUUUAAAUUACAGCUGCUCUCAAGAAAAUCAGUACGCAGAUAUAUUGGUAUACUUUUUCUCAGUGUAGAGCAAAUCCAAUGAUCAGUGCUGUCUGGGGAAGAAAAGGGGCGUGCAUCAGUUCUACAGAAUGCUGAUAAGUACCAGAAGCAAUUAGAGAAGUUGGAAAGUUCAGCUAGCCAAGGUUUUCGCAGAGGACAAAGGCAUCCAACGCAAUCCAGUCACUGCAUGUAUUAAUUCCAAUCAAGAGUUUCCUUUGUUCAGCAUUGUAUACACUCAUUAGUGUUGUCUCCUUGCUUUUAUUCUUUUGUUUUCACAGUGCUUGGGCAUAAGAGGAGGAGCUGUCUGGGUGGUGUUGAUGUGGUCUUGGCGCUCAGAGAAAGUGAAUACGUCAUUUUGGAGUAUUACAUAGUUAUGAGUUCACUUUGCUUUACUCUCUUUCUUAGAUGUUAAAAUCUUCAUUUUUGGUCAGUGGGAUCUGAUCAUUCAGUUUUACUCUCACCCAGUGGCCCAGUAAGAAAUACUUUUCUUACUAUUUUGCGGUGUACUAUUCUUUGCACUGAAUUAUUUCCACCAAAUUGUAUGUUCUUCAGCAUCCAUGUCAUGUCCUCAUUUCUUCAGACUGGACGUAGAUUUUAACUGCAGAACUGUGACAGUGCACCUAUAAGCCUGCCACCAGAUCUACGAAAUUUUGCAUUUCUUCCUCACAGUACUAAUUAACAAAAAUAAUUGUGGCUUUCAUGGGAUUCUUAAACAAUUUUUGUACAGCAAAGAUUUUUUUGUGAUUUCUGUUUCGUACUCCUGGUUUUCUAUUUCUUCAUGGUUACUUAUUACUAGGAAUCCUAAUUAGUCCCUUUCUUUUUUCCUUAGCGGCUCUGAGAUAAAUUCAUGACCACGUAUUUCAGAUGGGAGGUAUUUCUAAUAAAGAGAAAUACAUGUCAGAUAAUCUUUGAACUGUUGAUGCAUUGGAUGGUUUGCUGGAUACGCUGAAAGCAACACACAUCAGUUUGAAUGACUUGACCUUAAUGCUUCUCCAGUACUUCUUUUGAUCUUUUUAAAGAACUGGAUGGAGCCAACAAUGAAAAUACUCAUGUAGUAGCAGUACCAACAAAUACUUCACCAGAUCAUAUUCCAUAAAUUUCUUUCUUGAAGAAUUAUAGACUGACCCAAAUUAAAUGAGGCAGUUAGCCAGUAUCUCCAGUGACCUUCCAUGAGAGAACUUAAAGAUACUUGAGUAGGUGUUAUAGGCUAGCCUCUUUGGUAGAAUUUCUUGAGAAGGCAUUGCUGUGUAAACAUGAAAGCUUACUUUGUCCACAGGACCGAAACUACACUCAGAGAAUUGGCUUCAGAUAUCUACUGAUAUCAGCUGCAGAUAUUCAGCGCUCAAGCUUCCCGCAGCAAUUGAUGCAGUUGCGGACACGUCUUAUUUAGCUUAGAUCAUCCGAUUGCAACAUUAUGAAUGUUUUUUUGUUACCAGUUUGCUCUACGCUAUACUACAUAAGAUACACUAUAGAAGAUAGUUCCUUUGGUGUGCUCUCUGUUUAGCUGUAGUCAGCGUGCUGAGGACUAUCCUUUUUCUCAUCUGUCUUUGUACUAGGCAAACUGAACAUAAAAUUCAGAACAUCAUAUUUUUCCUUCAGCGCAAGAAAAAGAAUCCAGAGAUGAUUAUGCA